UCUCUUUUUCCCCUCUCCUAUUUCAGGCUUCACUCUCUCUCUUUCUCUCACUAUAAACAAAAUUUUACACACAUUUUAAAAGUUUUUGGAUCAAAACGAGGAAAAUGGAUGAACAGAUGAACACGAUGAACGUGUUCAUCCUUAAUUCCCAAUUUUCUUCAAACUCCGUCCAAUCUACAAAUCACCAACACAUACCUCCACUCAUUUUUUCUCCUCAGCAAAGAUUCAACAACCAAUUAGGCAAAACAAACAUAAUUGAAGCAAAUCAACCCUGUUUCCAAACAAAACCCUAAACAACCCCUUUUAAUAUUAUUCACAAAUUUCAUCAAUUCGCAGCAAAUUAAAGCAACAAAGUAGCAAAUGCGUAAGGAAUAAGGUAUAUAAGCAUGAAACAAAAAUGGAAAAAGACACCUCACUGGAAUCUCUAGUUUCCAAACCUCUGGAGAGCACUCCGGCGAGGUCAAAAUCAACCUUCAAGUAAAUUAUCUUUGAUGUUCACUUUCCAUUUUACUUGUUUGCUUCAUUCCUCGUCUCAUUCUUCUUCUCUGUUCUUUGUGUGGUGUGGGUGAGUUUGAAGCUCAAGCUCUGGAGCUUCAAGAUGAAGCUCACAAAACCAUUUGGUGAGGUGAGUGCAAUGGACGGCGAUGGAAUGAUGUUGUAUGAUGCAUUGAUGUAAUAGAACAUGUUUUUCCUUGUUGCUCAAUUUGAAAAUUUGUUUCAUGGUUAUGGUAUGUAUGUGGUGGAAUGUGUGCAAAGCUCAUGUAAUAGAACAAAGUUUGCUUUUAUUGGAACUUCACUUUUUAUUUUAAA